rnacentral:rRNA from 1 species
UCCACGCCCUAAACGAUGCACACUAGUUGUUGCUAUGCUAGACAUAGCAGUAAUGCAGUUAACACAGUAAGUGUGCCGCCUGGGGAGUACGGUCGCAAGAUUAAAACUCAAAGGAAUAGACGGGGUGGGGAUGACGUCAAGUCCUCAUGGCCCUUACGGGCUGGGCUACACACGUGCUACAAUGGCGGUGACAGAGGGCAGCGAAGGGGCAACCCGGAGCGAAUCCCUAAAAUCCGUCUCAGUUCGGAUUGUACUCUGCAACUCGAGUGCAUGAAGGUGGAAUCGCUAGUAAUCGCGGAUCAGCAUGCCGCGGUGAAUACGUUCCCGGGCCCUGUACACACCGCCCGUCACACCAUGGGAGUUGG